CCCUUAGAUGUCCUGGGCCGCACGCGCGCUACACUGAUGCAUGCAACGAGUUUAUAACCUUGGCCUGAAAGGUCUGGGUAAUCUUUUGAACGUGCAUCAUGAUAGGGAUAGAUUAUUGCAAUUGUUAAUCUUGAACGAGGAAUUCCUAGUAAACGCGAGUCAUCAGCUCGCAUUGAUUACGUCCCUGCCCUUUGUACACACCGCCCGUCGCACCUACCGAUUGAAUGGUUCGGUGAAGAUCUCGGACUUCGAUAUUUAUUCUUUAUUGAGUUUAUAUUGUGGGAAGUUAUCUAAACCUCAUCAUUUAGAGGAAGGUGAAGUCGUAACA
rnacentral:rRNA from 1 species